UUGGAGAGAGGAAGCUGCAGCCAGCGGCUGGAAGAGCUGGUGCAAGCGAGAUAUCGGGAUGGCAGGCAAAUCCACCAUCCGAAACGAGAAGGCGUGAAGCGUACGGAAAGCUACGGCGAGUACGGAAGGCAGUGGAGGAACUUCCAAGAAAAGUUUCUAACGUUAAGUAUAUAUGGCCCGUACCGAAAAUGGACACACAUGGGUGAGGAGAGAAUCCUAAGGUGAGCGAGAGAACUAUAGCUAAGGAACUCUGCAAAAUGACUCCGUAACUUAGGGAGAAGGAGUGCUCAUAGAGAUAUGAGCCGCAGUGAAACGGCCCAAGCGACUGUUUACCAAAAACACAGCUCUCUGCUAAGCCGCAAGGCGAAGUAUAGGGGGUGACGCCUGCCCGGUGCUGGAAGGUUAAGGGGAGGGGUUAACGCAAGUGAAGCCCUGAACUGAAGCCCCAGUAAACGGCGGCCGUAACUAUAACGGUCCUAAGGUAGCGAAAUUCCUUGUCAGGUAAGUUCUGACCCGCACGAAAGGCGUAACGAUUUGGACGCUGUCUCAGCUGUAGACUCGGUGAAGUCUUAGUACCUGUGAAGAUGCAGGUUACCCGCGACUAGACGGAAAGACCCCAUGGAGCUUCACUGCGGGUUGAUAUUGGGAUUUGAUGCAGCAUGUACAGGAUAGGUAGGAGGCAAAGAGAUGGAUACGCCAGUAUUCAAGGAGCCGCUGUUGGGAUACUACCCCUGUUGUAUUGGAUUUCUAACCGGACGACGUAGAGCCGUUGACGGGACAGUGUCAGUCGGGCAGUUUGACUGGGGCGGUCGCCUCCCAAAGAGUAACGGAGGCGCCCAAAGAUACCCUCAGCUUGGAUGGAAACCAAGCGCAGAGUGCAAAGGCAAAAGGGUGUUUGACUGCGAGACCCACAAGUCGAGCAGGGACGAAAGUCGGGCUUAGUGAUCCGGCGGUGCUGAAUGGAAAGGCCGUCGCUCAACGGAUAAAAGCUACCCUGGGGAUAACAGGCUGAUCUCCCCCAAGAGUUCACAUCGACGGGGAGGUUUGGCACCUCGAUGUCGGCUCAUCGCAUCCUGGAGCUGAAGUCGGUUCCAAGGGUUGGGCUGUUCGCCCAUUAAAGCGGUACGCGAGCUGGGUUCAGAACGUCGUGAGACAGUUCGGUCCCUAUCUGUCGUGGGCGCAGGAAAUUUGAGAAGAGCUGUCCUCAGUACGAGAGGACCGGGAUGGACGCAUCAAUGGUGGACCAGUUGUCACGCCAGUGGCAUAGCUGGGUAGCUAAAUGCGGAAGGGAUAAACGCUGAAGGCAUCUAAGUGUGAAACCCACUUCAAGAUGAGAUUUCCCAUUGCGCAAGCAAGUAAGACCCCUUAAAGACGAUAAGGUAGAUAGGUCAGGAGUGUAAGCAUGGUGACAUGUUAAGCGGACUGAUACUAAUAGGUCGAGGGCUUGAUC
rnacentral:rRNA from 1 species